rnacentral:lncRNA from 1 species
AAUAUAAUAACCUUUGGUAAUGACACAGAUGAUGCACAUGAAGGAAGCACUCCUCGAGACGGAAAAAAUCAGGACAAUUCAAGAACAAUUUUUUGAAUUUCUUCUGGACAAUGUAGUAAAUCUAGCGGGAAAGUUUCAUAAUGAUGGAUCAAAUCUACAUCACCGUCAGGACUCGGGUUCAGAAUAGUUGAUCCAAAAUGUUGAGCUUUGAAAGUUGAUGCAAUGUAAUAUUAU